CCUACGGGUGGCAGCAGUAGGGAAUAUUGCUCAAUGGGGGAAACCCUGAAGCAGCAACGCCGCGUGAAGGAUGAAGGUUUUCGGAUUGUAAACUCCUUUUGUUAGAGAAGAUAAUGACGGUAUCUAACGAAUAAGCACCGUCUAACUCCGUCCCCGCAGCCGCGGUAAUACGGAGGGGGCAAGCGUUACUCGGAAUCCCUGGGCGUAAAGAGCGCGUAGGCGGGAUAGCAAGUCAGAUGUUAAAUCCUAGCGCUUAAACAUAGAACUGCAUUUGAAACUGUUAUUCUAGAGUAUGGGAGAGGUAGGUGGAAGUCGUGGUGUAGGGGUAAAAUGCGUAGAGAUCAAGAGGAAUACUGAGUGCGAAGGCGAC
rnacentral:rRNA from 1 species